AUAUAGGGAUAUUAUAGUUGAUUGUGGUUACAGUUUUCUACGACGGUCCGACUUUCGUUACCUUGGACCUAAUAUUGAAUUGGAGACAGAGAAAAACUUAUUGCCCGACCCACACUUACCACUAUAUCAAAGUUGGAAGAGAAUGCAUUACUACGAAAGAUUUAUGGGUUCCCUUGACCAUUGUAAUGAAAUAUAUAUUCCCAUUUUCAUCAUGAAACACUACAUGCUUGCUCGAGUAAUUAUAAAAGAAAGAAAAGUUGAAGUUUGGGACUCACUUGCUCA